UACGAAGGGUGCAAGCGUUUGUUCGGAAUUACUGGGCGUAAAGCGCGCGUAGGCGGGCUUGUGUGUCGAUUGUGAAAGCCCUGGGCUUAACCUGGGAAUGGCAGUCGAAACUGCAAGUCUUGAAUGUCUGAGAGGAUGGCGGAAUUCCCGGUGUAGUAGUGAAAUACGUAGAUAUCGGGAAGAACACCUGAGGCGAAGGCGGCUAUCUGGCGGUACAUUGACGCUGAUGCGCGAAAAGCGUGGGGGAGCAAACCGG
rnacentral:rRNA from 1 species